GUAGGCAUUCAAUGUGUGUUGGCACAGCGCUGAGCGGACACAGUCCUGUUUGUCAAAGCGGAUAAUGCCAAUCAUUUCAUCCUCAGCGAAACGCUCCAGCGCAUCACUAAGACCUGAUUUCACACCACGCGGCAGGUCGCAUUGGGUGAUAUCGCCAUUUACGAUAACCGUGACAUUUUCACCGAGACGGGU
rnacentral:antisense_RNA from 1 species